GCUCGAUUGGUGUAGAGGUAGUCACCCCGGUCCCUCAAACCGGUAGCACGGGUUCGACCCCCGUAUCGAGUAC
rnacentral:tRNA from 1 species